rnacentral:rRNA from 1 species
GUGGGGAAUAUUGGACAAUGGGGGCAACCCUGAUCCAGCAACGCCGCGUGGAGGAUGAAGGCCUUCGGGUUGUAAACUCCUGUCGGGAGGGGCGAACGGUUCGCGGUGAACAAUCGCGAGCUCUGACGGUACCUCCGGAGGAAGCCCCGGCUAACUCUGUGCCAGCAGCCGCGGUAAUACAGAGGGGGCAAGCGUUAUUCGGAAUCAUUGGGCGUAAAGGGCGCGUAGGCGGCUUGGCAAGUCCAAGGUGAAAUCCCUCGGCUCAACCGAGGAACUGCCUUGGAAACUGCCAGGCUCGAGGCCGGGAGAGGGUAGUGGAAUUCCCAGUGUAGCGGUGAAAUGCGUAGAUAUUGGGAGGAACACCGGUGGCGAAGGCGGCUACCUGGACCGGUUCUGACGCUGAGGCGCGAAAGCGUGGGGAGCAAACAGGAUUAGAUACCCCGGUAGUCC